rnacentral:misc_RNA from 1 species
GGAAGGAUCAUUACUUGAUUCCAGGUGCAUAGGUACCUGACCUUAUGCCCUGAGCUAGUUGUUGCUUCUAAUAGCUAGUUAGGGGUGUAACUUUACCCUUGUCUAUGCGCACUAUUUGUUUCCUAGGCGAGUAUACCGUACUCGCCAAUAGGACUUUUAAACUCUAUUGUAAUAGUAGUUAUUGUCUGAUAAAUAUUAAUUGUCACAACUUUCAACAAUGGAUCUCUUGGUUCUGGCAUCGAUGAAGAACGCAGCGAAAUGCGAUAAGUAGUGUGAAUUGCAGAUACUAGUGAAUCAUCGAAUCUUUGAACGCACAUUGCGCCCCUUGGUAAGCCAUAGGGCAUGCCUGUUCGAGCGUCGUAAAAAGAGAAGCUGUGCUUAGUAGUAUAAGAAUGUCCUUAUGAGUAGGACUAUUGGCAAAUAGAUUGGCAGCAGUUUUACCAGCUUUUUGUGCAGCAGUUUGCGCUUAAAAGAGUACUGGCGAAGCUGCAUCCAAGGAGUUUUCUUGCAGACUUUCGACCUCGAAUCAGGUAGGGAUACCCGCUGAACUUAAGCAUAUCAAUAAGCGGAGGAAAAGAAACCAACUGGGAUUGCCCUAGUAACGGCGAGUGAAGCGGCAAAAGCUCAAAUUUGAAAUCUGGCCCCCUUCAGGGGCCCGAGUUGUAAUUUGCAGAGGGUGCUUUAGCAUAUGGAGCGGUCUAAGUUCCUUGGAACAGGACAUCACAGAGGGUGAGAAUCCCGUAUGUGGUCGCUACUUUUGCUGUGUAUAGCCCCUUCGACGAGUCGAGUUGUUUGGGAAUGCAGCUCUAAAUGGGAGGUAAAUUUCUUCUAAAGCUAAAUACUAGCCAGAGACCGAUAGCGCACAAGUAGAGUGAUCGAAAGAUGAAAAGCACUUUGGAAAGAGAGUCAAAUAGCACGUGAAAUUGUUGAAAGGGAAGCGCUUAUAGUCAGACUUGCUCGCAGUUGCUCACCCACUUUGGGGCGUUCUGCUGCGGGCAGGCCAGCAUCAGUUCGGGCAGCUGGAUAAUGGCCUCUGUCAUGUAUCUUCCGUUUAAGGAUGACCUUAUAGGGGAGGCGUAGUACGGCUAGCCUGGACUGAGGUCCGCGCAUUUGCUAGGAUGCUGGCGUAAUGACUGUAAGCGGCCCGUCUUGAAACACGGACCAAGGAGUCUAACAUCUAUGCGAGUGUUUGGGUGUCAAGCCCGGGCGCGCAAUGAAAGUGAACGGAGGUGGGAACCCUUGGGUGCACCAUCGACCGAUCCUGAUGUCUUCGGAUGGAUUUGAGUAAGAGCAUAGCUGUUGGGACCCGAAAGAUGGUGAACUAUGCUUGAAUAGGGUGAAGCCAGAGGAAACUCUGGUGGAGGCUCGCAGCGGUUCUGACGUGCAAAUCGAUCGUCAAAUUUGGGCAUAGGGGCGAAAGACUAAUCGAACUAUCUAGUAGCUGGUUCCUGC